rnacentral:rRNA from 1 species
GUCGAUUGCUCCAGAAGUCACCUCACCAAGAGGUGCCCAAGGAGUGCUCGGUAACUGGGGUGAAGUCGUAACAAGGUAGCCGUAGGGGAACCUGCGGCUGGAUCACCUCCUUUCUAAGGAG